rnacentral:rRNA from 1 species
CGGACGGGUGAGUAAUGACUAGGAAUCUGCCUGGUAGUGGGGGAUAACGUUCGGAAACGGACGCUAAUACCGCAUACGUCCUACGGGAGAAAGCAGGGGACCUUCGGGCCUUGCGCUAUCAGAUGAGCCUAGGUCGGAUUAGCUAGUUGGUGAGGUAAUGGCUCACCAAGGCGACGAUCCGUAACUGGUCUGAGAGGAUGAUCAGUCACACUGGAACUGAGACACGGUCCAGACUCCUACGGGAGGCAGCAGUGGGGAAUAUUGGACAAUGGGCGAAAGCCUGAUCCAGCCAUGCCGCGUGUGUGAAGAAGGUCUUCGGAUUGUAAAGCACUUUAAGUUGGGAGGAAGGGCAGUUGCCUAAUACGUAACUGUUUUGACGUUACCGACAGAAUAAGCACCGGCUAACUCUGUGCCAGCAGCCGCGGUAAUACAGAGGGUGCAAGCGUUAAUCGGAAUUACUGGGCGUAAAGCGCGCGUAGGUGGUUUGUUAAGUUGGAUGUGAAAUCCCCGGGCUCAACCUGGGAACUGCAUUCAAAACUGACUGACUAGAGUAUGGUAGAGGGUGGUGGAAUUUCCUGUGUAGCGGUGAAAUGCGUAGAUAUAGGAAGGAACACC